AAAUCAGCGUAGAUUCAAGGAAUCAUAAUCCUUGUGUCGGCGGUUCAAAUCCGUCCUCCGCUACCA
rnacentral:tRNA from 1 species